GCGGCCGCAGUCCGCGCCCCGGCGCCCUGGCGAUGCUGGACCAGAUCUCCGUGUCGGAAUUCGUGGCCGAGACCCUUGAAGAUUAUAAGGCGCCCACGGCCUCUUGCUUCACCACGGGCACGGCCCAGUGCCGGGACACCGUGGCGGCCAUCGAUGAGGAUGCAGUGACUUAUGAUGAUGUGCACGUGAACUUCACUGGGGAAGAGUGGAAUUUGCUGGAUCCUUCCCAGAAGAGUCUCUACAAAGAUGUGAUGCUGGAGACCUACUGGAACCUCACUGUUAUAGGCUACACUUGGGAAAACCAUCAUAUUGAAAGACAUUGUCAAAGU
rnacentral:lncRNA from 1 species